rnacentral:misc_RNA from 1 species
GCAAACUUGGUCAUUUAGAGGAAGUAAAAGUCGUAACAAGGUCUCCGUAGGUGAACCUGCGGAGGGAUCAUUAUCGAGAUAUCUCGCUUUCUAGCGGAUCUCCUAUCUCCUGUUAUUGGUACCGUCGUUGCUUUGGCAGUUGCAGGCGGUCUCAUAUCGUUUGUCCUGCUAGAGGCUCCCUAGCCCCUUUAGUAUUAUGUUGUCCGAUUGGCUGCGUAAUUUAUAAAAAAAACUUUCAACGACGGAUCUCUUGGUUCUAGCAUCGAUGAAGAACGCAGC